CCUCAUUUGCUAAUGGGAGAACAGUACAUUUGAGGAAACUGGUGAGGCUUGUUUUGUCACUCUGGGGGAAACAGGUUUUGAGAGUGAGUUAUAUAGGGAAGUUGUUUUUUUUUUUUUUUGUUAUUUUUGGGCCAAGUUAUAAACACCUUACAGAGGCAAAGUCCCAAUACAGACUACUUCUCAGAAGAACUAGUGACUAAGCCGGUGUUUUUGACAUCAAAUCUGAAUUUAGUGCUGCAGCAGAAUUGCCUGGUCAUGGCCUGAAUCAAUGGUUGAGCUACAGGUGAGAAGGCGUGGAUAAUCCAGGGAGCUCAGGUGCAAGCAAUGGGUCCACCCCUUCUCAUUCUCAUUUAAGUGUUAGCAGCCAAGGGAGCAGUUUGUUAUGUGUCCCUUGGAAAAAUCUGUCUCACGUCUUUUUCCAGAAAGCAGAAGUUCUGGGAAUGGGGAGAGAUUGUCUUCUGUCCUACCUAUGAAUUAAUAACUACAUCUGCUGGCCACAUGGGUUGGAAUGAAGCUAUUUCACACUUCUUUUUCAGGUGCGGUUGCUGGGAGAACAAGCCUGGAUGGAGAGCUCUCAUACAAGUGUGGUGCACACGACUGUUCUACGUAACCCUCUUCCAUAAGUACCAUUAGCACUAGGGAGUGCCAAAUUAAGAGCAAUGUGAAAUCUUUGCAAAUAGUGACUAAAUGAUGGAGACAAUAACAAUGUAAAUAACUUGGUAAUUUAAAUAGCUGGUUUAUAAAUAAACCAGAGUCAAUAUAUAUUCCUGCUGGUCUCUAAAGAAAUUAGACCAGUAAAUUCCUGUGAAUCACAAUAAGGAACAUAUUUUGUGCAUUUAAAAUAAAUCUCAAAGCUGCAUGAUGAAGUACUUUUAAUUAUUGCAGAGUGGUACAGGCAGCAGCUUUAUAUAUUUUAUCUCUCAAAUCAAUAACAAAAGAAGUGCUUUGCAGGAACUGAUGCUGUACUUUCAGAAGAAAAGAAGUUGUACUUAAAAUGAUACAGUCAAAUGCUCACCUUAGUUUGUCCUUGCUAGUCAUUUUAUUUGGAAUAUAUCCUAAAAUACAGUUGGUUAC